rnacentral:sRNA from 1 species
GCCAGGUGCAGUGGCACAUGCCUGUAAUCCCAGCUGCUCUGGAGGCUGAGGCAGGAGGAUCAUGAGUUCACAGCCAGCCUCAGCAAAAGCAAGGUGCUAAGCAACUCAGUGAGACUCUGUCUCUA